rnacentral:tRNA from 1 species
GCCGAAGUGGCGGAAUUGGCAGACGCGCUAGGCUCAGAACUUAGUGGCUGUAAAGCCAUGGGGGUUCGACUCCCCCCUUCGGCACCA